UUGUAUAUACAGUUAUCUAUAAAUUCGGCCUAAGAAAUAUAAGAAACUCGUUACAAUAUUACUUCACUUUUUAUUAUUAAUUAUUACCAUUAGAAUUGCAUAAAUUAAUAUAGUCGCGAAUACAUUAUUUCUAUUCUUGCGUUUCGGCGCAACAAUAAUAUAUAAGUGCAGCCCUUUACUCUACAUUAAUAUUAUCCCUGAAACGGAAAGUACUUUAGACUCGUAUUUUUUCCCCAACGAGUUGCGAUGAACUUUAUGUCAUAACUUCGACAACAAAAGGGGGUUCUUAUUUUCUUCCAAUAUUGAACAUUGUGUCUACCUUGUGUAAUUGCAACUUUUCCCCAUGAGUCUGAUGUGAGUGUAUGUACCUGUGUGCGUAUGUGACAUCGCUUGUCUACCGUCAGUUUUAUCGGGGCAGUAGAGCAGUUCAAAGCCUUAUAGGUCUCGAUAUGAAUAUUAUCAAUUUUCCAGGAUAUGCAGAUCAGCUCGAUCUGCUUCCAGAUUUCGAGUGGGCAGUUCAACUGAAUCGUUUCAGUCUGAAACUCUUAGGUCUUUGGCCAGAGGAAGCCGCCAGUUUACAAGACAGAUUGAAUUCAAAUUUACGACUGUUUGGAGUCUUCAUUCUCAUCAACGGUGUUUGCACCGUGCCGUCGUUGCACUUACUAUUGAAAAUUUGGGGUGAUAUAAAUGCGAUGAUGGACAACUUUGUAUUCACCUUACCUUUAUUGACGGUAUCCGUGAAAUUGUUAAUUUUGUGGUGGAAACGAGAAGCAUUAUCUUCAUUGAUGACAAUGAUCGCUCAUGACUGGAUCAAGUCGAAGUCCAAAGAUGAGCGAAACGUUAUGAUACGUUGCGCGCAAAACGCCCGACUAAUUAUCACAUUCAGCUACAUUGUAAUCUUUUGCUCGUUAAUAAUCCUGAUCAUUUCUACCGCGUUCGGCUAUACCGUGACACACGUAACGAAUAUCACAGACACGAAGAAGCCGCUACCACUGCAGGGAUAUUACAUUUAUAAUACGUCCGUGAGCCCGCAGUUUGAGCUGACGUUUUUCGGUCAGUGCAUUAGCUUGACGAUGGUCGCACUUUCUUACACGAGCACCGACAAUUUCCUUGGAUUGCUCGUCUUUCAUAUUUGCGGCCAACUAGAGAAUCUGACGAGCCGUCUGUACCAAAUGCGCGAAUCCAAGGACUUUGCUAUGGCGCUGAGAGUCAACGUAACAGAUCAUACACGUCUUAUCAGAUCUGUUGCAAUUAUCGAAGAUGCUUUUACAUUAAUGCUGCUAUUCUUAUUUCUGUACUUCGGAAGUAUGGUCUGUACUUAUGGAUUUCUGGUCGUUACAGUAAUCAUCGAGGAGAAAAAUGUAUCUAUCAAGAAAACAAUCUUUCUGAUUAUGGUUAUUUGUACGGCGUUUACUCAUAUGUGUGUCUACUGCGCUGUUGGUGAACUAUUAAUCAUAAAAUAUGAAGAGGUUUACAAUGCGGUGUAUGAGUUCGAAUGGUAUACUCUGGAUACGAAGAAGGCAAAGAAUUUCAUUUUUUUAUUAGUUCGUAUGAACAAGCCGCUUUAUAUUACAGCUGGGAAAAUGUUACCUAUGACAAUGGCCACGUUCUGUAGCAUAUUAAAAUCAUCGGGUGGAUAUAUAUCAGUCUUACUCGCAAAUCAAAAUUAAGAAAAAUCUGAUAUCUACAGCAACACAAAUUUAAUAAUAAUAGAAUAAAAUGUGUAUAUUCUUUUUAAUAAUAAGGUGUGAUAAAUAUUCAGAGAAAAAGAUGUUAAUCAACAUAUGUGGCAAACGAUAAGAAAUUGUAAUGAAUCGAUGUCGAUGUUUGAUAGUAAUACCGUACAUGACACCAAAUUUAUAAAAUACAUGACUGAUGAGAAUGAUAGUCACUUGGUUAAACUAUGGAAUGAUAUGGAUGUUACCACGUCGGAUGACAAAUACACACUGGUGAUCGUGGUACUUGUUGCAUGUUUCUCGUUAACGGUUCGUCUAUAUUCAGACAUACGAUUGUACAAGCAUGCGAUUGUACUUGAGCAUAAUAAAGAGAAAAGUUUUUAGAAGUUACCAUCACGAGCGAAAAAAA
rnacentral:misc_RNA from 1 species